rnacentral:ncRNA from 1 species
UGGCUACACUGCGGGCGCAGAUCUGAGACUGCAACAACACUCCUCACAAGGUGUUGUUGUUAGUCAAAGUGAAGCUGAGAAGUACCGUCAGAACUCGAUCAAGAUAAUACUUGCGUGAGGAACGUGCUGCCGCUAUUAC